UGCAGUCGACGGCAGCGCGAGAGAGCUUGCUCUCUUGGCGGCGAGUGGCGGACGGGUGAGUAAUAUAUCGGAACGUGCCCAGUAGCGGGGGAUAACUACUCGAAAGAGUGGCUAAUACCGCAUACGCCCUACGGGGGAAAGGGGGGGAUCGCAAGACCUCUCACUAUUGGAGCGGCCGAUAUCGGAUUAGCUAGUUGGUGGGGUAAAGGCUCACCAAGGCAACGAUCCGUAGCUGGUUUGAGAGGACGACCAGCCACACUGGGACUGAGACACGGCCCAGACUCCUACGGGAGGCAGCAGUGGGGAAUUUUGGACAAUGGGGGAAACCCUGAUCCAGCCAUCCCGCGUGUAUGAUGAAGGCCUUCGGGUUGUAAAGUACUUUUGGCAGAGAAGAAAAGGUAUCCCCUAAUACGGGAUACUGCUGACGGUAUCUGCAGAAUAAGCACCGGCUAACUACGUGCCAGCAGCCGCGGUAAUACGUAGGGUGCAAGCGUUAAUCGGAAUUACUGGGCGUAAAGCGUGUGUAGGCGGUUCGGAAAGAAAGAUGUGAAAUCCCAGGGCUCAACCUUGGAACUGCAUUUUUAACUGCCGAGCUAGAGUAUGUCAGAGGGGGGUAGAAUUCCACGUGUAGCAGUGAAAUGCGUAGAUAUGUGGAGGAAUACCGAUGGCGAAGGCAGCCCCCUGGGAUAAUACUGACGCUCAGACACGAAAGCGUGGGGGAGCAAACAGGAUUAGAUACCCUGGUAGUCCACGCCCUAAACGAUGUCAACUAGCUGUUGGGGCCGUUAGGCCUUAGUAGCGCAGCUAACGCGUGAAGUUGACCGCCUGGGGAGUACGGGUCGCAAGAUUAAAACUCAAAGGAAUUGACGGGGACCCGCACAAGCGGUGCAUGAUGUGGAUUUAAUUUCGAUGCAACGCGAAAACCUUACCUACCCUUGACAUGUCUGCAAGCCGAGAGAUUU
rnacentral:rRNA from 1 species